CGCAGGCAAGAACUUUACAAGAACCAUUGUCUAUAUUUGUAGAUCAUGAACUUACAAUACAUAAUCAUAUUUCCUAUGGCCUUCCCACACCACAAGAAAUAUGAAUAGCUAUAAUACAGAGGUUAGACAUGAUGGGGUGUUAAACUCGCUUGAAAUUAAAACAAUGAUUUCACCCCUGUUCUACAUAUGAACUCCACUGAUGUUUCAAUGAACUCCCGAGCGACUAUAUGAACUUUUGGCUUCAUGUCUGUAUCAGUUAGCUUCAAGAUAAUAACAGCUUCCAUCUUGCAGCCAGGUUUGAAUACUAAUCAUGAUACUUGGGUUUAAGGGUUUCAAGGGGCAAUUUAAAAUAAAAACCCCAUGAAAUUUGUUGGUUUUGAAAAUUUUAUUGCUCCAACCACAGCAACCAAAUUAGUGAGAUGAAAGAUCUAUUUAAUUGAGAGCAUAAUGAACCCGCUCAAGGAGUUGCACGACUUGAUUAACUGGGAUAGGGAGAGGAGAUUUUGAACCUGUUUUAACAGUAUCCAGUUGACCAAGAGGUAAUGACAAUAUCGCCUCUUGUUGUACACUUGUUAGCUCCAAAAAUUGAGCCAGCACAUCACCAUCAAGCAUCUUAGGUGCUCCAACCUGGUUUUCACGGCUACGGAACUCUCUAUGAUCAUUUCCUAAAAUUGGAGCAGUCAAAGGAUGAACCACAAGUCUGGCUUGGACAGCUUCUAGGAGUUCGUGUUCUUCCCUUGUCAANNNNNUUAUUAUGCUCCCAAAAAGUUUUUUAGCCAUUAUAGUGUUGUUUGAGGCAUCAAUAUUCACACCAAAACCAUCACAUCCUAUCAACACAUCAUCAGCGGGGAGUUUAUAUGAAAAU
rnacentral:misc_RNA from 1 species